rnacentral:lncRNA from 1 species
AAUGUGGAGAUCGACUAACACGAAUCUUGAAACCAAAGAUUCGUGUUAAUCGAUCUCUGCAUGGGUCUGGGGAUGUAUGUAUAUAUAUAAAUAGAAAAAGCCCACUAUAUAGACUAUCGCGCUACCAGAUGCGUGACUGUGUAUUCCACUUUUUGGUGGAACACGUGUCACGUAUCCAGUAGCGCGAUGGUCAUUAUGCUGCAAGACUUAUAUCUGACAAAAAUGCUUGUCCAGUAUCUUCAGUUGAUAAAGUACUUGGAACUGUUUCAAAUGGAAAGGUCAAACAAACUAAUUCAGAUGGAAAUGUUCCUUCACGUACUUCACACAAGAAGGUUGCUCGGACAAGAAAACAGAAACGUAGACGUAAGAAGAAGCACCUUUUUAGUUUCAGAAAAAUCAAACGUUUCUUCAAAGGAAGAAAAUAUAGUAAUAAAUUGGAUGCUAAAAAGAAGAAACGGAACAAGGUAAUGAAUUUAGACAAGAAGGUGCAAGUAAAUAAUUCACAGACAACUCCUCAACGCACUUUAAUUGAACAGCUUUUUCGAAGAGACAA